GCCAGCGUGGUGUAGUGGUUUGAACAUUGGACUAUGACUGGAGAUCAGGGUUCGAUUUCCUGCUUGGCC